AACGGCCGGACACAUGAUGCGCGUUUACAAAUUCCAAGCUAUUCGCGUGAAAUAUAAAGAAAAACGCAGUAUAAAGUGUACUACUCGAUGCGUCGGUUCGGAGUGAGUACGAGAAUGGUGAAGAUUUUUGUUAAAUACGAUGGAAAGUGCAUUUUAUUUCAAAGUGAAAAGUGUUUUCGGAGCUUGUGGAGCAUAAAUUCCAAUAUGGCGGUACAGAAGUGGUGGGCUUCUGCCCUCAAUCGGCUUUUGCCGAAGUGUGUAUUGUUAUGAAAUGUGAUCAACUGGAAGAUUUGCGGUGUGUCGCAUUUAAUUGCAUAGAGGUGAUGUUGUGUGGAAGCUGCACACAGUUGACUCCGCGAGCCUUGUGAGGCGUUCAAUGACAGGAGUGAAACUGAAAUCCAGGCGGUUGAGGAUUGACUGACGUCGUCAGCUCAGUUGAUAUUGAUGCAUCCGAUUCGAUGCUGCGGUGGCAGAUGAGGA